UUUUAGUAAUUCUUUCAUUGUUAAGAUUAACUUAACCAUACAAUUCUAACUGCUGUCUUAUUUCCUAGGGAUGAUUUCACCUCACUCUUCCAUUUCUGAAGCCUGUGGGAUUUUCUAAAAUUUAGGACAAACAAUCAGUCAAAGAAAGAGAAAGCAUUCCACCAAAGGAGAAAACACCAAGGAUCCGCUUUCAGGUUGCUGUAUAAACUCUAG
rnacentral:lncRNA from 1 species